GUUUCGUUCUCCUCUGGAGUGGAGGGACUGGCAUCGCCCUAUGGUGGGCAGAAGAGUUAAAAGGCAGGAAAUACAAGACCAUUUUUGAGUCACUUGUUGAAUUCAGCGGGUCUUCGUAACUCCAGAAAGUAAGUAUGCUCAUAUGCUCAUCAUCAACUUCUGGGAUGUAAGUUUAAUAGGCACGGGUCACUGCACAGGCUUGGCAGGGCAUGGAGACAGGCUAGAGAGGGGCCAGCACCCAAGUCCUACUUCUUCCCAGCAAAGUGCUGGCCACACAAUGACUGGCUAGAGAGAGCUGCUUAAUGCGGGGGUAGCCACCCUCCCACAUCACAGAAACGUGCCUAUUUUACAAGACCAUGGACUCAAAGGAAAAAUACAUUGAAAAUCUGACUCCUGCAGGAGCAAUGGCCAGGACUCAUCUUUUAUACACCAAAGUCGGAGACUCAGUUUCACUGCAGAGAUUCUAAUCCUGCUUCUGCAUUCUUGACCAUGGCAUCACAUAAAAAUAGAUACAUCUUUUCAAGAAAACUAAUGCUUUUACAUCUGGUCUCUAUCAAAGUAAACAAGUAUUGAGAAAACAAGUUACUUUUAAGCAUUUUGAAAUGACAAUAACUUGCAUUUUCCCACAUUUCCAUUAAACACACAAUACACCUCAAAAAAUAAAAUAAAAAAAAAUUUAAAUGCGACAUUCACUGCUUCAUAAACGUUGAGAAUGUCUGUUUGCUAACUGUGUGCCAAAACCUAAUGAAACAAAUUUAAGAGUAACUUGAAAACUUCUGGUUCCAUAUAAAAUACUACCAAGAAAUAUGGUUAAUCAUCUUGCCAAAUGUGAUUUAAGCUCAGGGAUUCGGGAAAUGUCUCUCUCUCUUUUUCAAAUUCCAAUGCUUGCUGUUCAGCUAAAGGAGGUUUUUGCCACUAAUGGCAAAAACCGUGAUUACUUUUGCACCAACCUAAUAAAAUAAGCAGGACUGGCCUAGUCUGUUCACAGCAAGCCUCACAGUCCUCUCCCUUCCUUCAGCGCUAAUGAGUGCAUCACAUGUGUCAAAAACAUUUGAUGACUGACUUUCCCAAAUGGUAAGUGGGCCUUAAUUUCUACCCAAUCAAUAAGUACUUGUGGCUUUGAACUGAGAUGACUCUGGAGCACCUGUUCCCCAGUUCACAGAGCCCUGAGAGUUUAAAGCCAGGCCCAUGGGAUCACCCUGCUCAAUCAUUUGAGGAAGCUUCACCCAAAGUGAUCAGGCCUGGGUGUCCUGAGGAAGGCAGCUAUCACCACCGUGCCAGGCACUUGACAUCAAGUGGCAUCUCAGCCAACUCUUGCUGCAACCUGAGGAGAGGCGUCCUCUCCACAUCACACAGGCAGAGAGUGAGACUCCUAGCACUUAAUCCGCAGAAGGUCUCACAGCUGGAACACAGCAGGAGAGAGACAGCCCUAAGGCUGCCAGGUGCAAAGCCCUUGCUCCCUGUACCACAGGACCCCGACUCCUAGCUCCCACCUCAUGGACUGCCUUGUCACCUUUCCUCUCUCUUCAGAAGCCACCCCAAAACUAAAGUAUGUAUCAAUUGACCACAUAAUCCAGAGACUAAGGUCUACACUCACCUAAGUUGACUGAUGCAGAAAAAAUAUCCACAGAAAUAGUACUUUCAAAAGAGAAAAAAACUACAUCAUUUUGGUUUGCAAUUCAUAUAAAUAAAAAACAGCCUGAAGCCAGGCUUAAAAGAGUUUUAUAAUUUAUCAAACUAGCAUGUACAUUCACUUGAAAAAGUUUGACUGUUUUAAAGCACAGAGUAAAACCCAAGUCCAAACCUUCCACCCAGGCAAGAAGCCCUCUUGGGCAGAUGCUGGACAGCUUCCACCUGGACACUGCCAAUAUGGAAAGGUGGCUGCUGUGGUUCUCUGACUCAGUUUCCUCAUCAGCAACAGGUCAAUUCAGGUGGUUCAUGGGCGUACACUGUGUGUCACGAUUAGAGCUGGAGAAUCUUAACGCCAUCUCUGGCAAUUCCGAAUUAUCACUGAGGAGAAAACAAAGAGUGGGCACAAAGGCAAGCUGACCCUGCAGAGAGUCCCUGCGGGUAUCAAUUACAAUACACCACAGUCCUCUCCGGUCCCUGAAAGAUGCCUGAAGCUACAUGUAUCAACUCUUCUCGGAUGUCUACAGAAUUAAAGUCUGUUCUGCUUCUUUUAGGAUCCUCCAUCUGGAGACUCUGCAGCUACAUGAGUGAGUAUCUGCGCAAGAUCCUCUGGGCUCAUGGAGGACUUUGCUCUUGUGUCAUUCAAACAUGUAUACUGAGAUGGAUUAUUAGUACAAUGCCCAAAUAGAGAGGAUUCUCCAUUAUUCUCAAAAGAAUCUUUUGGGGCAAGGAAAUGAAGCAGUUUGCACAGAGACCUUAGUGAAGUGCCAGAAGCAGAUGCACCUUACUACAGAAUCCCCCUACUUAUGAUCAACAUGCCAGUCCAGGAAAUGGGCUUCAAAGGCAAGUCUUUCAGCUCGCCAGCCUUGCUCAUACAUCACUACUGAUCUUAAGUGACAGGAUGAUGGAAGCUUUCUUAUUUCCACAUUAAGACACGGAGGUCAUGCUGCAACAGUAAUCCUUCAAUGAACUUUGUUAACAAAGUAGACUCCCAGAGAUCAAGGGUAAUGUAUUUAGCAACUGGGGUUGUGAGCCCUGAUGGCUAUUGCCUGUGAUGAACAAAUGCUCACUGCCACCACAGCCUGUCUGUCAUCAGCCUGUGCUGGGUUAGUCUGUGAAAAGUUAAGAAAGCUUGGCAAGUGAGUGGUUUGACAGAACAUUCUGUACCUUUUCCAAACUUUUCAGUGGGGCAGUUCUGACAAACACAAAUUAUGUCUUCAUGUAUCCCUUCAGGUAUGAAGUGACUGUGUGUGACUCCUCAAAACAAAGGGAUUGUGGAGACCCCACCGUCAGCUGUGUGUGUACUUUAAACUCCUCCAACAGAAGGGGCAGGAUGAACUGACCCAGUCACUCCCUAUGCUGGCCUACGAUGUUCUUCCACAUCCCCUGUACACAGUCCCGUGCAUCACUUUCUUGAAGAUCAAGUGUGUGACUGCUUCCUUCCACAAGUCCAAUCCCAAGUGAACAUCCUUUCUUGUUUAUUCCCCAUAAUAGCAACUUGUUGCUUCUAUUUUCUGUAUUUGUUUAAUUUGCUUUGCUAGCAUCUUCCCAAGGAAACAAGUUUCUUGAGGACAGGGGCCAUUUAUGUUGCAUUUGUAUUCAUACAAUCCACAACCUCCCUAAUGAGGAACAAGGUACAGUAAGUGCUCAACAAAGGCACAAAGACACCAAACCCAGCUGGACCAAGGCUGUGAAGAGCUCCCACCACCACCCACUGGCCCCAAAUGCUUUGUGUUUGUCAGUACGAACUUGUCUGCACAUCAGGCAGGUCUAAUGUCCAGAAGGGGUGUGGGAGGGUAAGAAGAGAAUCAGCAUUUUGAGUGCAGAUUCCUCCCAUCCACAUGAAACCACCCCCUUCUCAUCAGAUAGCACCUUCCCUUGCCUCGUGAUGCAAACUGCUUCUCUAACUACUGCAGAGUACAUCUGAGUGUCGUCUGCUGUCAGCCAGUUCCUUCCUGGCCCUUAGCAAUAAAUAGAAACUCAGUCCAGUGA
rnacentral:lncRNA from 1 species